ACAUUUCUAAUUUGGUGCCUUCUUGACCGAGAAAAGGCAGAAAAUUACUUUUUAGUGCUUGUGGAUUGCAGACAACAAUCCCCAUAGUGCAUUGCAAUGCUCAGCUCCGCAGGCCACUCCCACUGUCGAACUCAAUUGUUCAACUCCGCCCAUAAUCUGUCAACCAAGGCUCGACCGUUGAGCUCCACUCUACGCUACCUGGAAAUCAUUUCAAACAAUUUCUAGUGAAGACUUAGUUUGUGAACUCAUUAGUGAAUUACUCCUCGUUUGUGUUUCGAAAUGGUGUGCACUUGCAUGUUACCGGGAUGUUCAGCCAGCACAAGGAAAAUACACGGAAGUAAAUUUUUAUAGAUUACCCAAAGAGUUGGAGUUGUGCAAAAAGUGGCUACGGGCUAUCAAUAACCUGAAGUUCGGAGAGGACACAGCCAUUGAAGCACUAAAACAUCUGACGGUGUGCAGUCUACAUUUCAAGGCAGAAGAACCCCUUAAGAGUGAAGAGACCCGCGCUUGUGAAAACCGCAAUUCCGUCAAUAUUUACCUUGCCAGAUGAUGUCGACGAACAGCCAGGAACUUCUGGAACUAGCAGUGCUAGCUGCGCUAAACGCAUUUGCCUGGAGUCACCAUGCCCAAGUACAUCUGGCCUUGAUACCAGUGCCAGCACCCUUGAAGUUGGUGAAACGGGUGAAAGGCACUACAAAACAGGUGGAAGUGCAUUCCACACCAUGUGGUCAAUGAACAUCGAUGGACUGACACGGAUGGAAAGCGGCAUCACUGUGACCAUGCUCCUCUAACAGCUGAGGAGCAGAAGAAGAGGAUGUGGCCGGUGGCAUAUCAGGACCUGACGUCACUCGUCUUUGAUAAAAGGCUUUUGAAAGAUCUUCAGAAGAUGGCCCUCUUCAAACAUACUGGGCCACUGGAGAUCUUUCACAGAGCUCUCCUGAAGUACCUCCCUAAAUGCCAGGCCUUCUCCUACGAGGGAGAGGGCCUACCUCGCCAUCAUGGAACAUAAUGAGAACAUUGUGGCACGAGAACAAGCCACCACGGCAACAGGAGAACCACGCGUCAAGCAGGUCUUCUGCAAAAAGUCAAAGCAAUGGAUAGUCAAGAAAAUCUAUAAGCCACACACCACCAAGUUCAUCCAGACACUAAUUGAGAAGGUCAUAGAAAACAGACGCAACCCAAACAUAACAUUCAAGGACUCAACCGCUUCACUCACCCAACCACAACCUCCUUUGCCACCUAACAUUGCCCCUGUCCCAAAGCCGUCAAAGAAAGCUGCAACAUCAUCAUUCAAGAGCCGCUUCUGAGACGUCAGCUCUACAUUAACCCAUUCCUCACAAAUAUUUUGUAAUAUUACCAUGUCUUAUGUCUUUGUCUUAUAAUAUGGUCUUUUGACCUUAUCCUUGCACUACCUUUACCUGUUUGCACUGCCAUUGAGCACCUUACUAUACAUACUCAAUCACAGGGUCAAUACCUCUUUUUUUAUAGUGUGGAUCAUUUUGUUUGUGUGUUUUGAUG